CACCCUGAAAUGAUGAUUUUUUUAAGUUUGUGUCUCUUUUCUGACAUUUUCCUGAGAAAGUUUUUGCUGUGACCUAAUUAGGACA